GUCCACGCUGUAAACGAUGUCUGCUAGCCGUUGGGAUCCUUGAGGUCUCGGUGGCGCAGCUAACGCAUAAGCAGACCGCCUGGGGAGUACGGCCGCAAGGUUAAAACUCAAAUGAAUUGACGGGGGCCCCGCACAAGCGGUGGAGCAUGUGGUUUAAUUCGAUGCAACGCGAAGAACCUUACCACCCCUUGACAUCCAGAGAACUGUCCAGAGAUGGACGGUGCCUUCGGGAACUCUGAGACAGGUGCUGCAUGGCUGUCGU
rnacentral:rRNA from 1 species